CACCACCAAAGGGUUAGUAACGGUGGGGAACUGUUUGCACCCCGAAGCCUGAAAGAGUGAAGUAGGGUGGGAUUACCUGGAAAGAGAGAGAGAGACAGAAGGAGAAUGAGAUUGAGGGAAGGGCUGCCUGGCAGGGGAAGCUGACGCCUUCAGGCAAGUGAAGAAGCCAGCCCGCAGCAACUCUGCAGGGAAGAAUAUAGGGAAAUAAACGCCUUCAUCUCUCUCUUGUCCCACCCGCAGAGCUCCUUCUGGGAUUCUCUAUUGGCUGAACUCAGCCAGAAGCUGCCAAGGGAGACCCCCACAACUGGAUGCAGCCCACUGAAGUCAGCUUCCUGGGGUGCGUAGCUGAAGGUAGCAGGGAGCAAAAAGAAUCUGAAGGGGAAGUGAACAAUGUAGAGCGUAUCUGUGCUGAAGACGUAAGGAGAGAGUGGAGGUCAGAAGCUGGCAUGGUCCCUGGUGCAUGUAUCAGCCGCUAAAGCUGGAGUGGAUGAAUCAGAACUUUCCCCAUGGGAGCAUUUAUAAAAAGGGGACACCCAGCGCAGAAGAUGUUUUCCAGGGAGAUCUCGGGGAGCCCAACAAGCCAAGAAGAGCAGAGCAAAGCAUUCCAAGGAAGGACUCUAAGUCUGCAACCGAGCACACACGAGAAGCAAGACUGACCUCCUUGGAACAGACUUUCUGGACAAUUUGCUGGCAGAGGAAGAGACCACAAGAGGAAAAAAGUGGACUUCCUGCACAAGGAAAGACCAUGUGAAUACACAGCAAGAACGUGGUGCUCUGCAAGUCAGAAACAGACCCGUCAUCAGACACCAAAUCAGCCAGCACCUUGAUCUAGGAUUUCUGGCCUCCAAAACAGUGAGAAAAUAAAAUUCUGUUGUUUAAGCCAUGCAGCCUGUUGUAU
rnacentral:lncRNA from 1 species